rnacentral:rRNA from 1 species
GUGAGGAAUAUUGCGCAAUGGGGGAAACCCUGACGCAGCAACGCCGUGUGAGUGAUGAAGGCCUUCGGGUCGUAAAGCUCUGUUGGGAGGGAAGAAAGGUUCGUGACGAAUAAUCACGAUCUCUGACGGUACCUCCAGAGGAAGCACCGGCCAACUCCGUGCCAGCAGCCGCGGUAAUACGGAGGGUGCUAGCGUUGUUCGGAAUUACUGGGCGUAAAGCGCGUGCAGGCGGCCAGUUAAGUCAGAUGUGAAAUCCCUGGGCUUAACCCAGGAACUGCAUCUGAAACUGGUUGGCUAGAGUACGGGAGAGGAAGGUGGAAUUCCUGGUGUAGAGGUGAAAUUCGUAGAUAUCGGGAAGAACACCAGUGGCGAAGGCGGCCUUCUGGCCCGAUACUGACGCUGAGACGCGAAAGCGUGGGGAGCAAACAGGAUUAGAAACCCCAGUAGUCC